GCACUGGUGGUUCAAUGGUGGAAUUAUUGCCUUCAAUGUAGGAGACCCAGGUUUGCUUCCCAGCCAAUGCA
rnacentral:tRNA from 1 species